UGAAAUCCAAAAUUUUCUUGUUUAAGUUGUAACUUCUUGUUUAUCUUGCUUUGCAGAAUAAGGAAUUUCUCAUAUAAAAGAUUGUGACUUUAAGUAACUUGUAGAGAAUUAUCCUAAGAGUGUCUUAGAUUUUAAAACACUGCUGCAGUGUUGUUUACCAUGUUUUAUACCAGUUACACCUGCCAUGGCCUGAUCAAGUAUGGCGCUGAAUGCCAUCUGGGAGGUGCUGAGCCCAAACAACUCUCGGUGAAGUCAGCACCAUGCUGAAUCGGGCAUUAUGAGUAUAUCACUAGUGUAUUAGAGUUUUAUUCGCCAGUUCACAGAACCAU
rnacentral:lncRNA from 1 species